UCUCAAGGUGUAAAAGCCAAAGGUCCGGUGAUGAUUCCAUACCCUUUUCUUCAGUCUCAUGUUGAAGAUCUCUAUGAAGAAAGCCUUCCCAAAGGAAUUUGUUUUUCUUUUUCCUGAGACAGUUUUCACUGUUGUCACCCAGGUUGGAGUGCUGUGAUGUGAUUCUGGCUGACUGGCUCUUGGGUUCAGGCAGUUCUUUUGCCUCACAGUCACCCACCACCAUUCAAGACUAAUUUUUGCAUUAUUAGUAGAGAAGGGAUUUUUCUAUGUUGGCCAGGAUAUUGCAAAACAAAGCUUAAUCUUUGAAGAUCGUUUUUAAGACCAAAAAUUUGAAGGACAUGUGAAUGAUCUGUGUGUGGAAGAACUACUGGAAAACAUUUCCUUUCAGAAGUCCCUCAUGAUAGGGAAUCCCAAGGCUGGGAAACAUCAUUCAAGUGGGCAAUGAAAUUAAAUUUUUUAUUAAAAGCCACCCUGAGUGAAUCCCAGCAAGCCCUGCAUAAAAUAUAUCGUUAAUUAUAUUUCCUAUUUGAUGUUUGACUCCCCCUCCUCCUUCACUAAAAGAUGGAAAUGUGUCAUGUAUCAGCUAUUCAUCCAAUGACUGCUCCUCAGUUCCAAAUUCAGCCUUCACUGCCUGCUCUGCAAACAUAGAGAUGGGACCAUGUAGUUGCAGGAAAACAAACAAGCUCAGGACUCACACUGAUUGUACAUUAUGGGUUAUUAUUGAAAAUCAAACACAAACUUAAAGGUGUGAAUUGCUGAAUUACAAUGACAGUUGAAUUCACUGCAUCUCCAAGGUUCUCAUGAGAACAUUGGGGCACUAAUAGGUGAAGAAUGGGAUUUUCUUUUUGAGACCGUCUCCCUCUGUUGCCCAGGCUGGAGCACAGCGAUGUGAUCUUGGCUCACUGCAGUCUCAACCUCCCGGGCUUAAGCUAUCCUCCUGCGUCAGCCUCUGGGAUAGCUGAGGUAUGACCACAGCCUCAGCCGAGGUGUCUCACCCCAUUCUCUAUGAUGCGACAAGAAGCCCCUUGGGAGCAUUUCAGUCUCACUCUGUACUUCUGUCAUUGUGCUCCUCACAGUCUGAAGCACCUAAGCUGAAGAGUCCCUUGAGAACAAGUACUAUCCUGUGGUUUCAUAACCUUUCUUCCAUCUGUGGUUCUUGCCGAGUUAAAUUUAAAGUGCAUCUUAUCAAGAUGAUAAACCCAACUUUUCCAGAGCUGGAAUAUAGAAAAUGGAUGGACAUAUAAGUCCCACUCACCAAUAGCCAAGGCAUGGAGACCUGAACACACCUGAGCCCUAGACAUCACAUUUCAUUGUUGAAUUGUAUCCGAAGAUAUUUCCAGCCAGAAAUGAGAUGACUGUGAGUCACAGGACAUUAGCAUUCUUGUUAUACUUGGUGUAAACUGCCGAGCUUUCAGGCAUGGUGGCUGUCGGCCUAUAAUUCCAGCACUUUGGGAGGCUGAGGUGGGAGGAUCGCUUGAGGCCAGGAGUUGGAGGAGGCAGUACAGUGAGUCACUGUAUUUUUUAAAAAUUUCCAAGCUUUACCCUGGUGGAAGGCUUGUAUACAAUUUAAACAUCACUGAUAGUAAAAGAAAAUGCCCAUUUCACUGCACCUUUGCUGGCACAGGGUACAAUAACAAGUUAUUUUUUGUUUGAUCAUUUUUAGUAAAUAAAAGAUAUCAUUAAUACUUUAUUUUUGUUACAUUUGAAUAUAUAUUUCCUUAU